rnacentral:rRNA from 1 species
UACGUAGGGGGGCAAGCGUUGUCCGGAAUCAUUGGGCGUAAAGCGCGUGUAGGCGGCUCGAUAAGUCUGCUGUGAAAGUCCAGGGCUCAACCCCUGGAAUGCCGGUGGAAACUGUCGGGCUAGAGUCCGGAAGAGGCGAGUGGAAUUCCUGGUGUAGCGGUGAAAUGCGCAGAUAUCAGGAGGAACACCAACGGCGAAGGCAGCCCGCUGGGACGGUACUGACGCUAAGGCGCGAAAGCGUGGGGAGCGAACAGG